rnacentral:rRNA from 1 species
CAGGCCUAACACAUGCAAGUCGAGCGGCAGCGGGAAGUAGCUUGCUACUUUGCCGGCGAGCGGCGGACGGGUGAGUAACGCGUGGGAAUCUACCCAUUUGUGGGGGAUAACUUGGGGAAACUCAAGCUAAUACCGCAUAAUCCCUACGGGGGAAAGCAGGGGAUCUUCGGACCUUGCGCAGAUGGAUGAGCCCGCGUCGGAUUAGCUAGUUGGUAGGGUAAAGGCCUACCAAGGCGACGAUCCGUAACUGGUCUGAGAGGAUGACCAGUCACAUCGGGACUGAGACACGGCCCGAACUCCUACGGGAGGCAGCAGUGAGGAAUCUUGGACAAUGGGGGCAACCCUGAUCCAGCCAUGCCGCGUGUGUGAAGAAGGCCCUAGGGUUGUAAAGCACUUUCAGUAGGGAGGAAGGCUUCGGGUUAAUACCCUGGAGUACUUGACGUUACCUACAGAAGAAGCACCGGCUAAUUUCGUGCCAGCAGCCGCGGUAAUACGAAAGGUGCGAGCGUUAAUCGGAAUUACUGGGCGUAAAGCGCGCGUAGGCGGUUAGUUAAGUCGGAUGUGAAAGCCCAGGGCUCAACCUUGGAACUGCAUCCGAUACUGGCUAGCUAGAGUGCAGUAGAGGGAGGUGGAAUUUCCGGUGUAGCGG